rnacentral:rRNA from 1 species
AGUGAACGCUGGCGGUAGGCCUAACACAUGCAAGUCGAACGGCAGCACAGAGGAGCUUGCUCCUUGGGUGGCGAGUGGCGGACGGGUGAGGAAUACAUCGGAAUCUACUCUGUCGUGGGGGAUAACGUAGGGAAACUUACGCUAAUACCGCAUACGCCCUACGGGUGAAAGCAGGGGAUCUUCGGACCUUGCGCGAUUGAAUGAGCCGAUGUCGGAUUAGCUAGUUGGCGGGGUAAAGGCCCACCAAGGCGACGAUCCGUAGCUGGUCUGAGAGGAUGAUCAGCCACACUGGAACUGAGACACGGUCCAGACGCCGACGGGAGUCAGCAGUGGGGAAUAUUGGAAGAUGGGCGCAAGCCUGAUCCAGCCAUACCACGUGGGUGAAGAAGGCCUUCGGGUUGUAAAGCCCUUUUGUUGGGAAAGAAAUCCAUCUGGUUAAUACCCGGGUGGGAUGACGGUACCCAAAGAAUAAGCACCGGCUAACUUCGUACCAGCAGCCGCCGUAA